GAUGAACGCUGGCGGCGUGCCUAAUACAUGCAAGUCGAGCGAACAGACGAGGAGCUUGCUCCUCUGGCGUUAGCGGCGGACGGGUGAGUAACACGUGGAUAACCUACCUAUAAGACUGGGAUAACUUCGGGAAACCGGAGCUAAUACCGGAUAAUAUAUUGAACCGCAUGGUUCAAUAGUGAAAGACGGUUUUGCUGUCACUUAUAGAUGGAUCCGCGCCGCAUUAGCUAGUUGGUAAGGUAACGGCUUACCAAGGCAACGAUGCGUAGCCGACCUGAGAGGGGGAUCGGCCACACUGGAACUGAGACACGGUCCAGACUCCUACGGGAGGCAGCAGUAGGGAAUCUUCCGCAAUGGGCGAAAGCCUGACGGAGCAACGCCGCGUGAGUGAUGAAGGUCUUCGGAUCGUAAAACUCUGUUAUUAGGGAAGAACAAAUGUGUAAGUAACUAUGCACGUCUUGACGGUACCUAAUCAGAAAGCCACGGCUAACUACGUG
rnacentral:rRNA from 1 species